rnacentral:rRNA from 1 species
CAGGAUGAACGCUGGCGGCGUGCCUAAUACAUGCAAGUCGAGCGAACGGACGAGAAGCUUGCUUCUCUGAUGUUAGCGGCGGACGGGUGAGUAACACGUGGAUAACCUACCUAUAAGACUGGGAUAACUUCGGGAAACCGGAGCUAAUACCGGAUAAUAUUUUGAACCGCAUGGUUCAAAAGUGAAAGACGGUCUUGCUGUCACUUAUAGAUGGAUCCGCGCUGCAUUAGCUAGUUGGUAAGGUAACGGCUUACCAAGGCAACGAUGCAUAGCCGACCUGAGAGGGUGAUCGGCCACACUGGAACUGAGACACGGUCCAGACUCCUACGGGAGGCAGCAGUAGGGAAUCUUCCGCAAUGGGCGAAAGCCUGACGGAGCAACGCCGCGUGAGUGAUGAAGGUCUUCGGAUCGUAAAACUCUGUUAUUAGGGAAGAACAUAUGUGUAAGUAACUGUGCACAUCUUGACGGUACCUAAUCAGAAAGCCACGGCUAACUACGUGCCAGCAGCCGCGGUAAUACGUAGGUGGCAAGCGUUAUCCGGAAUUAUUGGGCGUAAAGCGCGCGUAGGCGGUUUUUUAAGUCUGAUGUGAAAGCCCACGGCUCAACCGUGGAGGGUCAUUGGAAACUGGAAAACUUGAGUGCAGAAGAGGAAAGUGGAAUUCCAUGUGUAGCGGUGAAAUGCGCAGAGAUAUGGAGGAACACCAGUGGCGAAGGCGACUUUCUGGUCUGUAACUGACGCUGAUGUGCGAAAGCGUGGGGAUCAAACAGGAUUAGAUACCCUGGUAGUCCACGCCGUAAACGAUGAGUGCUAAGUGUUAGGGGGUUUCCGCCCCUUAGUGCUGCAGCUAACGCAUUAAGCACUCCGCCUGGGGAGUACGACCGCAAGGUUGAAACUCAAAGGAAUUGACGGGGACCCGCACAAGCGGUGGAGCAUGUGGUUUAAUUCGAAGCAACGCGAAGAACCUUACCAAAUCUUGACAUCCUUUGACAACUCUAGAGAUAGAGCCUUCCCCUUCGGGGGACAAAGUGACAGGUGGUGCAUGGUUGUCGUCAGCUCGUGUCGUGAGAUGUUGGGUUAAGUCCCGCAACGAGCGCAACCCUUAAGCUUAGUUGCCAUCAUUAAGUUGGGCACUCUAAGUUGACUGCCGGUGACAAACCGGAGGAAGGUGGGGAUGACGUCAAAUCAUCAUGCCCCUUAUGAUUUGGGCUACACACGUGCUACAAUGGACAAUACAAAGGGCAGCGAAACCGCGAGGUCAAGCAAAUCCCAUAAAGUUGUUCUCAGUUCGGAUUGUAGUCUGCAACUCGACUACAUGAAGCUGGAAUCGCUAGUAAUCGUAGAUCAGCAUGCUACGGUGAAUACGUUCCCGGGUCUUGUACACACCGCCC